CCCCAGAUGGCGCGCCCCGCUCGGCCGGCUGGCGGGAGCACCCUGAGGGCCGGCGCCGCAAGUUCGACUUUGACUUCCGGGAGCGGGAGGAGGAGCGGGGCGGACGGCGGCACCGGGGCAGCGACAGCUUCGAGGACGACAAGGACGGGCUGCCCGAGUGGUGCAUGGAUGACGAGGACGAGGAGAUGGGCACCUUCGACUCCUCUGGCGCCUUCAUGCCCCUCAAGAAGAGCCCCAAGGAGUCAAUCCCUGAGGAGCAGGUGUUCGACUUCCAUCCGCUGCAGGAAGAUGAUGAGAGGUCGGAAGGGAAGGACGACGCCGAGCCCGGCUCGAAGGAGGCCCCCGAGAAAGAGGCCUGGAAGGAUCCCUCGAUGGCCCCGGAGGAGAAGCGAUGUUCCCCGCCCGGCGCCCCCUGGCUGUCGGGCCCCCCUUUUGCUGCUACUGUUGCCACUGCCACUAGUGAAUGUGAGAGCGCCCCACUGGGGGGCUCAGACCCCGCCGCGCCCCUCGGCACCUGUGACAAGGAGCCGAAGCCCGCUGCGGAAGGUACCAAGCGGACAGGGGGGUGGGGGUGGGGUCCCCCUCCUGUGGCCUGAGCCUGUUAGACUUGGUACAUUCCUGCCCCCACGGGGGGUGGGCUGGUGGUUGUGUCCCCCAUCCCAGGAUGCAUUGCUCCCUUCAGGGCCAAGGGAGCCAAGACGUUAUCACAGCUAGUGUCUUUGUUGCCCCUUUUGGAAGUGGGCGCUACCUGAGUCAGCUGAGAGCCUGCAACAAAAGAUCCCCGCACCACACAGUAGGACGUUCACUCUGAAACCUACUGACCUCAGCGAAAACCAUUCACCUACCUUCACGCCCCCCCCUCAGUGCUUCUCUAGAGCUGAGCGCUGCCUGAUUCUGCGAAGAGCCUGAAACAAUCACUAAUGAAGGGUGUUCACUCUGAAACCUGCUAACGUCUGUCCGACUAUCUGUAUCUGUGGAGAGCCGGAAAGGACAGCUCCCGCAACCAUCAGGAAGGCUACCAAGGCGGGGGUGGUAUUAUGGGGGGGCAGAGAGAUCUGAGCCCCGAUGGGGUGGGGGAAGGGUUAAUGAAUUCAUGUAGUGACCCCCUCCCUCCUUCUCCAGGGGACCCAGGUGUCCUGAGCCUCCCGUCUCAGCUCAGCACGGGCGCGGUCUCCACCCUCUCCUCCCCUUCCUCCACCACCAAUGCUGCUACUGAGUUCUCCAUUGGAGACACUGAGGACGAUGACGGGAUGAAACAUCUUCAGCAGGUGAGCAGGGGAGCCCGGAUGCCUGGGUUCUCUCCCUGGCUCUGGGAGGGGAGGGGGGCU
rnacentral:lncRNA from 1 species